AUUGAACGCUGGCGGCAGGCCUAACACAUGCAAGUCGAGCGGAUGAAGGGAGCUUGCUCCUGGAUUCAGCGGCGGACGGGUGAGUAAUGCCUAGGAAUCUGCCUGGUAGUGGGGGAUAACGUCCGGAAACGGGCGCUAAUACCGCAUACGUCCUGAGGGAGAAAGUGGGGGAUCUUCGGACCUCACGCUAUCAGAUGAGCCUAGGUCGGAUUAGCUAGUUGGUGGGGUAAAGGCCUACCAAGGCGACGAUCCGUAACGGGUCUGAGAGGAUGAUCAGUAACACUGGAACUGAGACACGGUCCAGACUCCUACGGGAGGCAGCAGUGGGGAAUAUUGGACAAUGGGCGAAAGCCUGAUCCAGCCAUGCCGCGUGUGUGAAGAAGGUCUUCGGAUUGUAAAGCACUUUAAGUUGGGAGGAAGGGCAGUAAGUUAAUACCUUGCUGUUUUGACGGUACCAACAGAAUAAGCACCGGCUAACUUCGUG
rnacentral:rRNA from 1 species